GGGGAAUUUUGGACAAUGGGCGAAAGCCUGAUCCAGCCAUGCCGCGUGAGUGAAGAAGGCCUUCGGGUUGUAAAGCUCUUUUAGUCGGAAAGAAAGAGUUGCAAUGAAUAAUUGUGAUUUAUGACGGUACCGACAGAAAAAGCACCGGCUAACUACGUGCCAGCAGCCGCGGUAAUACGUAGGGUGCGGGCGUUAAUCGGAAUUACUGGGCGUAAAGGGUGCGCAGGCGGUCUUGCAAGUCAGAUGUGAAAGCCCCGGGCUUAACCUGGGAAUUGCGUUUGAAACUACAAGGCUAGAGUGCAGCAGAGGGGAGUGGAAUUCCAUGUGUAGCAGUGAAAUGCGUAGAGAUGUGGAAGAACACCGAUGGCGAAGGCAGCUCCCUGGGUUGACACUGACGCUCAUGCACGAAAGCGUGGGGAGCAAACA
rnacentral:rRNA from 1 species